rnacentral:rRNA from 1 species
UUCAGAGACUGCGGAGGGACAUUACACAAAUAUGAAGGCGGGCUGGAACCUCUCGGGGUUACAGCCUUGCUGAAUUAUUCACCCUUGUCUUUUGCGUACUUCUUGUUUCCUUGGUGGGUUCGCCCACCACUAGGACAAACAUAAACCUUUUGUAAUUGCAAUCAGCGUCAGUAACAAAUUAAUAAUUACAACUUUCAACAACGGAUCUCUUGGUUCUGGCAUCGAUGAAGAACGCAGCGAAAUGCGAUAAGUAGUGUGAAUUGCAGAAUUCAGUGAAUCAUCGAAUCUUUGAACGCACAUUGCGCCCUUUGGUAUUCCAAAGGGCAUGCCUGUUCGAGCGUCAUUUGUACCCUCAAGCUUUGCUUGGUGUUGGGCGUCUUGUCUCUAGCUUUGCUGGAGACUCGCCUUAAAGUAAUUGGCAGCCGGCCUACUGGUUUCGGAGCGCAGCACAAGUCGCACUCUCUAUCAGCAAAGGUCUAGCAUCCAUUAAGCCUUUUUUUCAACUUUUGACCUCGGAUCAGGUAGGGAUACCCGCUGAACUUAAGCAUUAA